rnacentral:rRNA from 1 species
CCUACGGGAGACAGCAGUGAGGAAUAUUGGUCAAUGGACGAGAGUCUGAACCAGCCAAGUAGCGUGAAGGAUGACUGCCCUAUGGGUUGUAAACUUCUUUUAUAUGGGAAUAAAAUGUUCCACGUGUGGGAUUUUGUAUGUACCAUAUGAAUAAGGAUCGGCUAACUCCGUGCCAGCAGCCGCGGUAAUACGGAGGAUCCGAGCGUUAUCCGGAUUUAUUGGGUUUAAAGGGAGCGUAGGUGGAUUGUUAAGUCAGUUGUGAAAGUUUGCGGCUCAACCGUAAAAUUGCAGUUGAAACUGGCAGUCUUGAGUACAGUAGAGGUGGGCGGAAUUCGGGGUGUAGCGGUGAAAUGCUUAGAUAUCACGAAGAACUCCGAUUGCGAAGGCAGUUCACUGGACUGCAACUGACACUGAGGCUCGAAAGUGUGGGUAUCAAACAGGAUUAGAUACCCUAGUAGUC